CCGGCCUCCGCCGGCGACCGGCGCACGGGUGAGUAACACGUAUGCAACCUGGCCCGCGGACGGGGACAACCCGGGGAAACCCGGACUAAUACCCGGCGGGGCCUGGAGGGGCAUCCCCUCCGGCUGAAGGAGGCGACUCCGCCGCGGGAUGGGCAUGCGGCGCAUUAGCUUGUUGGCGGGGCAACGGCCCACCAAGGCGACGAUGCGUAGGGGUUCUGAGAGGAAGGUCCCCCACACUGGAACUGAGACACGGUCCAGACUCCUACGGGAGGCAGCAG
rnacentral:rRNA from 1 species